UCCUCAAGGCACUUAGGACUGAGAGAACUCUUGAAGGACUGUCAGCCUAAGGGGCUCAGCAGCUAGAAAGUAAGCAGACUCAUUGAGGGACAGCCUGCUCCUGGAAACUCAUUGGAAGGACUUUCUCCUCCAAAUCUCAGAAGUGAUUUUUAGUCCCACUGACCCACCUAUCCCAAAGGAAAAAGGAACUCCAGAUUCAUCCUAAAUAAGAGCUAUGAUCCUUGUGUCUAUUCUCAUCUUUGUGAUGAUCUUCCUACUGGGAACAACAGAAGCACAGUCAGUGACUCAGCCUGAAGAUUCAGUCUUUGUCUCUGAAGGGUCCUCAGUGGAGCUGAAUUGUACUUAUUCCUAUUCUGGGAGCCCUUUGCUUUUCUGGUAUGUGUGGUAUCCCAACCAAGGUCCUCAAGUCCUCCUGAGACACACUUCAGAGGAAAGCAACAAUGGCUUUCAGGCUAAAAUCAACAAGGCUGAAAGCUCCUACCAUCUGAAGAAACGCCAUGUCCAAGAGAAAGACUCAGCUAUGUACUUCUGUGUUCUGACAGACACAGUGAGAGGGCCCACAAGGGGAGCUGAACAAAAAUCUUCAAAGACAGUCUUUAAAAUGUUCUUCUAG